GGAGUCUAUACAUUUGCUAUGUUUCAGCCUAGUUUCUGCGAGCUGUUAUUAGCCGAGGUGGAAAAUUUUGAAAAGUGGGUCAAUGCUGUGAAGUUUAAGAUCAUGAGACCAAAUACUAUGAAUAAAUACGGUGCUGUUCUAGAUGAUUUUGGCCUGGAAGCUAUGCUUAACAAGCUCAUGGAUGAGUUCGUAUGCCCGAUAUCUAAAGUGUUC
rnacentral:misc_RNA from 1 species